AGGUUCUAAGAGUUAUGUUCAUGGAUCGAGAGUUUCUAAUGUGUGGCUUUUCAGCUCUCAGAUGUAGUACAUUCAGCUAAGAAGUAUGGUAAUGGAGAGAGUUUCAAAUGGAUUUGAUGCCAAUAUUGUUCUUGCUAGCGCUAGCUUGCGUUUGCUAUCGGUGGUGCAGCUGCUGCUUCCUGUUGUGGAUGUACUUCCUGGACAAAGUUCCACACAUGAAUUGCAGCGUCC